UGGGGAAUAUUGGGCAAUGGGCGCAAGCCUGACCCAGCAACGCCGCGUGAGGGAAGAAGGUCUUCGGAUUGUAAACCUCUGUCCUUGGGGACGAAAAAAAUGACGGUACCCAAGGAGGAAGCUCCGGCUAACUACGUGCCAGCAGCCGCGGUAAUACGUAGGGAGCGAGCGUUGUCCGGAAUUACUGGGCGUAAAGGGUGCGUAGGCGGCAUGGCAAGUCAGAUGUGAAAUCCCCGGGCUUAACUCGGGGGGUGCAUUUGAAACUGCUGUGCUUGAGUGCAGGAGAGGAAAGCGGAAUUCCUAGUGUAGCGGUGAAAUUCGUAGAUAUUAGGAAGAACACCAGUGGCGAAGGCGGCUUUCUGGACUGUAACUGACGCUGAGGCACGAAAGCGUGGGGAGCAAACAG
rnacentral:rRNA from 1 species